GAUGAACGCUAGCGGCAGGCCUAACACAUGCAAGUCGAGGGAGAAGCCUUUCGGGGCAGAAACCGGCGCACGGGUGCGUAACGCGUAUGCAACCUACCUUUCACAGGGGGAUAGCCCGAAGAAAUUUGGAUUAAUGCCCCAUAAUAUUGUUUGAUGGCAUCAUUGGACAAUUAAAACUGCGGUGGUGAAAGAUGGGCAUGCGUCCUAUUAGCUAGUUGGAGUGGUAGCGGCACCCCAAGGCUACGAUAGGUAGGGGUCCUGAGAGGGAGAUCCCCCACACUGGUACUGAGACAGGGACCAGACUCCUACGGGAGGCAGCAGUGAGGAAUAUUGGUCAAUGGUCGGAAGACUGAACCAGCCAUGCCGCGUGCAGGAAGAAUGCCUUAUGGGUUGUAAACUGCUUUUAUAUGGGAAGAAUAAGGUGUACGUGUACA
rnacentral:rRNA from 1 species